AUUGAACGCUGGCGGCAUGCUUUACACAUGCAAGUCGAACGGCAGCGCGGGCUUCGGCCUGGCGGCGAGUGGCGAACGGGCGAGUAAUGCAUCGGAAUGUGCCCAGUAGUGGGGGAUAGCCCGGCGAAAGCCGGAUUAAUACCGCAUACGACCUGAGGGUGAAAGCGGGGGACCGAAAGGCCUCGCGCUAUUGGAGCGGCCGAUGUCGGAUUAGCUAGUUGGUGGGGUAAAGGCUUACCAAGGCGACGAUCCGUAGCUGGUCUGAGAGGACGACCAGCCACACUGGGACUGAGACACGGCCCAGACUCCUACGGGAGGCAGCAGUGGGGAAUUUUGGACAAUGGGGGCAACCCUGAUCCAGCCAUGCCGCGUGCGGGAAGAAGGCCUUCGGGUUGUAAACCGCUUUUGUUCGGGAAGAAAUCCUCUGGGCUAAUACCCCGGGGGGAUGACGGUACCGGAAGAAUAAGCACCGGCUAACUACGUG
rnacentral:rRNA from 1 species